CGAGGAAGCAGAACGAUUACAUUACAGCAUUGGAUGGCAUCGCUGAAUGACUAUAAGUCCUUACAAUUAUCGAUUUUCGCUGUAGAAAGUUUAAAUGUAUUUUUCUCAAAACAGUGUUUUUCAAGUUGGUGUGCAAGAUAACUCAAAAAAUAUCUUAUUUUCUUCGAAAAUGCUGCACACACCUUUUAUACAUCACAGCACACCUUCUAGUUGAACCUAAAAAUUCGAAAUAUUGAAAUAUUGAAAAAAAAUAUUUUUAAAGCAUCUCAAGUCUUAAUUGUUACUGAAAAUUCACAUUAUCCGCUUAAAGUUUACAAUUUUUAAGAAAAUUUAAAAGUUUUUAACAUUUUAUAGGUCCAACUAGAAAAUAUACAUGUUUAUAAGAGAUUGUGGGAAUUUUGACUUUUUCAGAUAAAAAUUACGAUUUCGAUUACGUCGUCCUUGCAAAAAAAAAAUAUUACCGCCAUUUUGUUUUUUAAGAGCAAAACAAAACUGAAACACUUUAUUUAAAUAUACUUUAUUAAGAAUACAUUAUUUAAAAUAUUGAAAACAUGACAUUUCCCAAAAACCCGAAAAUUUUCUUGUUUUUAGUAGUUUACAGGUAUUUGCCCCCUUAAAAAAUAAUCAAUCUGUGUGUCUUAAUUGUCGUAUUGGCAAAAUGUAUUAUGAAUUGCUGACAAAGGCAAUUUUUUGAAUUUAGAAGUCGGAGAACAGUUUGGCAUACGAAGGCAGGUUGGCGUAACAUCAAAUUGCAAAUCAACAAGACUAAAGACAACCAAAGCCGUAGUCAUUGAAAACACGAAAGUUUUCAACGCUGCCUUCGAAGAAUGAAAAUUCUCUAAUAAAAUGUGCAGUAAUCACUUUUCAUUGAAAAUGAUUCGAUAAAAAAUUUGUAAUUGGCUUGCGAAUACCAAACAUUAAUUUUCCAGGCUAUUAAUACCCUAAAUACCGAACAAGAAAAAAGGUAUACCCAGUGCAGACAA